rnacentral:misc_RNA from 1 species
AAGACUAUAGACCUGCGGAGUACCUGCGGAAGGAUCAUUACAGAGUUGCAAAACUCCCAAACCAUUGUGAACGUUACCUUCUCGUUGCUUCGGCGGGCGGCCCGGGUCCUUCCCGGCGCCCCCCGGCCCCUCGCGGGCGCCCGCCGGAGGUAAACCAAACUCUUGAAUUGUAUGGCCUCUCUGAGUCUUCUGUACUGAAUAAGUCAAAACUUUUAACAACGGAUCUCUAGAUCGGAAGAG